rnacentral:misc_RNA from 1 species
AACAUCGCGCACCUGCGGGAACCUGCGGAGGGAUCAUUACAGAGUGUAAAAACUCCCAAAACCCAUGUGAACAUACCUUUUUGUUGCUUCGGCGGGAUCGCCCCGGGCGCCUUGUGUGCCCCGGAGUCAGGCGCCCGCCGGGGGACCCAAACUCUUGUUUUUAACGAGUAUCUUCUGAGUAACGUUUUUAAAUAAAUAAAAACUUUCAGCAACGGAUCU